rnacentral:rRNA from 1 species
CCUACGGGUGGCAGCAGUGGGGAAUAUUGGGCAAUGGACGCAAGCCUGACCCAGCAACGCCGCGUGAAGGAAGAAGGCCCUCGGGUUGUAAACUUCUUUUAUUCGGGACGAAACAAAUGACGGUACCGAAUGAAUAAGCCACGGCUAACUACGUGCCAGCAGCCGCGGUAAUACGUAGGUGGCAAGCGUUAUCCGGAUUUACUGGGUGUAAAGGGCGUGUAGGCGGGAGAGCAAGUCAGACGUGAAAUUCCAGGGCUCAACCCUGGAACUGCGUUUGAAACUGUUGGUCUUGAGUAUCGGAGAGGCAGGCGGAAUUCCUAGUGUAGCGGUGAAAUGCGUAGAUAUUAGGAGGAACACCAGUGGCGAAGGCGGCCUGCUGGACGACAACUGACGGUGAGGCGCGAAAGCGUGGGGAGCAAACAGGAUUAGAUACCCUAGUAGUC